CCAAAAAUAAUAAUCCAAGAAAAAGACAAGGAAGAAGGGUAAUCAAACAAAAUCCAAUCAAUUGUUUCAGCCCCUCUCUGUGAAAAAUCUGAACCCCGUUAAAUUACGAUCAGAAAUCCUUAGACUCCAUUAAAUCUGGGUUUUUCUUUGCUUCUAUUUUUAUUAUUGUUUUAUCUAUUUUUUGACUGCUUGAUAUUCUAUUGCAAAUCAAAGAUAUUUUUCUGGAACCGGUUCCAUUUCUUUCCCCUUCUGUCUCUGCAUUUUCAAAUGAAUGUUGUUCCUGGUGGUGGUUUUGUUAAAUACUACUUGGAUAGCUCGAUUAGCGUAUGGAAGAAAAUGAUAAACCCACCUACAAGGUAUUACUCUACUAAUUAGCUCGAAUUUUAUACUAGUAUUUACAAUUUCCCCUUUUUAUAUCUGUUUCAAUUGGAAGAUUGAUUUGGGUCUAUGUUAUUUCUGCUUCUUUAUUGUUUUUGUGCAUUUAACUUACUUGAUUUGUUACUCUAUGCUUCUAGGUUAUUUAUUUAUUUAUUUCAAGAAAUAGUGUAUAACCGCAUUUCAACUAAAAAUGAAUUUAUCCAAAGUAUAUAGUGCAUUGUGUUGAACUGGGUUACUUUUUAAUGUCUAUAGUUUUGUACAAUUUUUCCCCUGAAACAGGAUUUUUUUUUUUUAAUUUUUCAACACAAAUUUGUUUUGAAAGAAUUGCUUGUAUGAGUUCCUUUCCCCUUUUAUUAUAGAUUCUCACAUAGAUGAACUGAAUUGUCAUUGAAGAAGAAAUAUUCUUAUAAAUGAGCCUAAACAGUAGAAAGCCUAUUACUAUGAGCUAUCACUUGUGUUUGAGACUCUUUCUAUGGUGUCUGCUAGAAUUUUUCAGUUUUCUUGUCAUUAUUUUAUACUCCUUUUAUCAUUUUUGGAGACCCUUGUCAGUUGUAACUAUGUUAAGGUCUAUCAGUUUUGUUAUUGUUGUUUGGUAGAUUGUUGUCAUAAAAUAUCGCUGGGAACUUAAUACCUUUGUGGUCAUUUAUUCUUUUUUAAAAUUUUAAUAGGUAAUACCCAAUUGGUUGUAGAGGUUGAGUUCAGUUACAAUCUUUAAGAUUCUGUUGAAUUUUUUAGUUUUCUUUUAUUAUUUGGUCUACCGUGAUGAAUAUCUGACUUGAUUGUUUUAUCUUACUUCAAGGAUUAUUACAAAGUUCUGGAAGUAGAUUACGAUGCAACAGAGGAGAACAUCAGAUUAAGUUACCGAAGACUUGCACUAGUCAGUUACCCAUUUCCUCAUUAUUUGUGUAUCUUAUUGUUGUUACAUUUCUUCUUCU
rnacentral:lncRNA from 1 species